CGGCGCCACAAGUGGUGAUCAUGUUUAUUGGGCCUAAAGCAUCCGUAGCCGGCGCUGUAAGUUUUCGGUUAAAUCUGUACGCUCAACGUACAGGCUGCCGGGAAUACUGCAGCGCUAGGGAGUGGGAGAGGUAGACGGUACUCGGUAGGAAGGGGUAAAAUCCUUUGAUCUAUUGAUGACCACCUGUGGCGAAGGCGGUCUACCAGAACACGUCCGACGGUGAGGGAUGAAAGCUGGGGGAGCAAACCGGAUUAGAUACCCGCGUAGUCC
rnacentral:rRNA from 1 species